rnacentral:rRNA from 1 species
GGGCGUAAAGAGCUCGUAGGUCGUUUGUCGCGUCGAUUGUGAAAAUCUGAGGCUCAACCUCAGACCUGCAGUCGAUACGGGCAAACUAGAGUGUGGUAGGGGAGACUGGAAUUCCUGGUGUAGCGGUGGAAUGCGCAGAUAUCAGGAGGAACACCAAUGGCGAAGGCAGGUCUCUGGGCCAUAACUGACACUGAGGAGCGAAAGUGCGGGGAGCGAACAGGAUUAGAUACCCUGGUAGUCCGCACCGUAAACGGUGGGCACUAGUUGUGGGAACCUUCCACGGUUUCCGCGACGCAGCAAACGCAUUAAGUGCCCCGCCUGGGGAGUACGAUCGCAAGAUUAAAACUCAAAGGAAUUGACGGGGCCCCGCACAAGCAGCGGAGCAUGCGGCUUAAUUCGACGCAACGCGAAGAACCUUACCAAGGCUUGACAUAUAGCGAAAAGUGGCAGAGAUGUCAUGUCCGCAAGGGCGCUAUACAGGUGGUGCAUGGUUGUCGUCAGCUCGUGUCGUGAGAUGUUGGGUUAAGUCCCGCAACGAGCGCAACCCUCGUUCUGUGUUACCAGCAUUUAGUUGGGGACUCACAGGAGACUGCCGGGGUCAACUCGGAGGAAGGUAAU